rnacentral:lncRNA from 1 species
AGGGUUGGCCACCUUGAGAAGCUGCGAAGAUGGCGGAGUAAGGCGUGCCGCUGCAAACUGGCCUCUGGGCCGGGGGCGAGCAGCCCCCGGGAGGCCGAGUGCAUCUGUUGGACCGUGCGAGGAGAAGAAAAAAAAUAUCGGCCAGAGGAGAGGAACUAACCGAACAUUCUUCCUCCCUACCUUAUAGAGGGGAGUGGUCAUCUACACUAAAGCAAAGUGUUAGGCGCGUCCGUGCGAAGAGACCACCAAACAGGCUUUGUGUUCCUUAUCACAGGAAGAAAAUUUUCCUUGACCUUUAGGUGCUUUUAUAUUCAUCUCAAAAACAAAAUUCUGAACUCAGGACUUGGCAAUAGAGACGGGGUUUCACCAUGUUGGCCAGGCUGGUCUUGAACUCCGGACCUGGUGAUCCACCCACUUCGGCUUCCCGAAGUGCUGGGUUUACAGAUGUGUCUCUAUGUUGUCUCCUAGAGUGGGUAGUCCUGCUUCUUUUACCCAGUUACUUUCCCGUUUUUGAAAUGUGGCUAUCACUUCUCUACACAUUACCUCCAUGAUUUGGAAUGGAAAAGGCCACUUUUCUUUUUGUUCUGCCUCUCAAAUUCAACACAGAGGAGCUCCUAGGAUUCCAGUUAUCCUGCUAACAUCUCCAGGAAGAAAGAAGCAACUCACAUGGGUCUUUUGCUGUUUGCUUAAUUAUAAAGACAUCAUUUUGCAAGCAGAAGGCUGAGUUUCAUUUGAAACAGGUGCUUAGGUGGUGGUAUUUGUGAAUACUUUUCAUUCCAAGCAAGAAGACUAAAGAAGUAGCAAGUAUGAAUGACUUCAGGGUUUAAAAAAAAUGUCUUCCAGUUUCAGCCACUACCAUGAUAAGCACAGUUGAGACUGCAGCAGUAAAUUCCAAAUAUGUGUUUCUAAUUUGACGUGAAAGAUACUAAAAAUUUAUAUUUGUAUAUUUAAAUCCUGGCUCAUCCUGUGACAUAGAUUUACUGAAUAGGAACAAAGGCCCAAUUUUAAACAAAAACCUAGGCCGGGUGUGGUGGCUCACACCUGUAAUCCCAACACUUUGGGAGGCCAAGGCAGGCAAAUCACCUGAGGUUGGGAGUUUGAGACCAGCCUGACCAACAUGGAGAAACCCCAUCUCUACUAAAAAUAGAAAAUUAGCCAGGUGUGGUGGUAGAUACGUGUAAUCCCAGCUACUCGUGAGGCUGAGGCAGGAGAAUUGCUUGAAUCCGGGAGGCGGAGGUUGCAGUGAACUGAGAUUGCACCACUGCACUCCAGCCUGGGCGACAGAGUGAGACUCCGUCUCAGAAAAAUAAAAAACAACUUUGGACAUAGAGGAGUUGGGGGCAGAGGGGGGAGGAUGAGAGAAUUUUCCAUGUAACUCCUUUUCCUUAAGAAAAAGAAGCAAAAAUCCCUCAUGCAGUGCCAUCUGACUUUAUGGUGUUUCACAUUAUAUAGUUACUUUUUUUAAUAAACGCAUAAGAUUAACUCUUCCUGCAACCCAAGGUGGAUACUUGGAUGUUUGAUUUUUAUUUAUUUAUUUAUUUAUUUUUUGAGGCAGUCUCUCUCUGUUGCCCAGGCUGGAGUGAUGCGUGAUUUCUGCUCACUGCAGUCUCUCCCACCCGGGUUCAAGCGAUUCUCCUGCCUCAGCCUCCCAAGUAGCUAGGAUUACAGGCGCGCACCACCACGCUCAGCCUGAUUUCUAGGCUGAAAAGGCUGGGACUCAGGUACUUUCCCCAGUUGGGACUGAACUUUCUCAUCAGAGAAUGGGCCUCAGAAGCAAUGUUCCCAAACUUGUGGUUGGGUCAUCGUGGAAAAGAAACCUCAAAUAAGAAAAAUAAUUACAAUAAGAAAUGGAUUUUCUUUUUUCCCACAACAGUUAUACAUUAUAAAGAACAGACUGUCGUAGAAAACUGUCUUUGCUUCCAAAUCAGCAGAGGACCAUUGUAUGUAUUGUCAGGUCUUUAUAUAAGAGUGAAACCUUUAUUUAUGCUUCUUGUGAGUAGAGAAUAAAUUUUAAAACUAAUUAGAUGAAAUUAA